ACGAACGCUGGCGGCGUGCUUAACACAUGCAAGUCGAACGGAAAGGCCCUGCUUUUGUGGGGUGCUCGAGUGGCGAACGGGUGAGUAACACGUGAGCAACCUGCCCUUGACUUUGGGAUAACUUCAGGAAACUGGGGCUAAUACCGGAUAGGAGCUCCUGCUGCAUGGUGGGGGUUGGAAAGUUUCGGCGGUUGGGGAUGGACUCGCGGCUUAUCAGCUUGGUGGUGGGGUAGUGGCUUACCAAGGCUUUGACGGGUAGCCGGCCUGAGAGGGUGACCGGCCACAUUGGGACUGAGAUACGGCCCAGACUCCUACGGGAGGCAGCAGUGGGGAAUAUUGCACAAUGGGCGGAAGCCUGAUGCAGCAACGCCGCGUGCGGGAUGACGGCCUUCGGGUUGUAAACCGCUUUCGCCUGUGACGAAGCGUGAGUGACGGUAAUGGGUAAAGAAGCACCGGCUAACUACGUG
rnacentral:rRNA from 1 species